rnacentral:rRNA from 1 species
GACGUAGGGCGCGAGCGUUGUCCGGAUUUAUUGGGCGUAAAGAGCUCGUAGGCGGCUUGUUGCGUCAGCUGUGAAAACCCACAGCUCAACUGUGGGCUUGCGGUCGAUACGGGCAGGCUAGAGUUCGGUAGGGGAGACUGGAAUUCCUGGUGUAGCGGUGAAAUGCGCAGAUAUCAGGAGGAACACCGGUGGCGAAGGCGGGUCUCUGGGCCGAUACUGACGCUGAGGAGCGAAAGCGUGGGGAGCGAACAGG